rnacentral:rRNA from 1 species
CUAGGUUCCGCACUUCUAGCGCGAGUCAUCCGUAGGAUAUUUUUGCCCAUGGAGGAACUCUGAUGCAGCACCGCUGCAGCUAAUGUAUGACGACCCUCGGUAGUAAAGCUACUUAGCCUGUAAGUAUCGCUUUAGUGAUAUCUGCCGGGUGUGGCGUAUCAUGAGAAUUAGGACAGGCUCAAUUUCGUGCAGCAGCCGCGGUAUACGAAAGGUACAUGCGUUACUCGGAAUUACUGGGCGUAAAGCGCACGUAGGCGGCUUUGUAUGUCGAUUGUGAAAGCCCCGCGCUCAACGUGGGAACUGCAGUCGACACUGCAAAGCUUGAAUGUUGGAGAGGUUGGGGUAAUACCUAGUGGAGAAGUGAAAUUCGUAGAGAUUAGGUGGAACACCAGAGGUGAACGUGCGUGACUGCCCAAACAUUGACGGUGAGGCGCGAAAGCGUGGGUAGCAAACAGGAUUAGAUAACCUGGUAGUCCACGCCGUAAACUAUGGACACUCGCCGUUCGAAGCAUUAACCCUUUGAGUGGCAAAGCUAACGCAUUAAGUGUCCCUCCUGGGAAGUACGGUCGCAAGACUAAAACUCAAAGGAAUUGACGGGGGCCCGCACAAGCGGUGGAGUAUGUGGUUUAAUUCGACGCAACGCGCAGAACCUUACCUGGUCUUGACAUCGCGAGAUCGCUGCAGAGAUGUAGCUUUGCCUUCGGGCACUCGUAGACAGGUGCUGCAUGGCUGUCGUCAGUUCGUGUUGUGAAAUGUUCGGUUAAGUCCGGCAACGAGCGCAACCCCUGUCCUUAGUUACCAUCAUUAAGUUGGGGACUCUAGGGAGACUGCCGGUGUUAAACCGGAGGAAGGCGGGGAUGACGUCAAGUCCUCAUGGCCCUUACGACCAGGGCUACACACGUACUACAAUGGUGGAAACAAACCGCUGCAAGCUCGCGAGAGUAAGCUAAUCGGAAAAACACCAUCUCAGCCCGGAUUGAAGUCUGCAACUCGACUUCAUGAAGUUGGAAUCGCUAGUAAUCGCAGAUCAGCACGCUGCGGUGAAUACGUUCCCGGGCCUUGUACACACCGCCCGUCACACCACGAAAGUGGUCUUAACCAGAAGUAAUUGAGCUAACCGCAAGGAGGCAGAUACCAAGUCGGUCCGGGUUGG